CUCGUUUUGGUGACUCCUCU
rnacentral:piRNA from 1 species